CUGGCGCCAUGCCCAAAAGAAGAAUAAGAGGAGUAGGGGCAAGGGCCGGCCUGCGUAGCGCCAUAAACCUUACUUUUUCUCGUGUUUUCCUUCAAACUACAAUGACGAGAAGAUCCACAGCCUGUGAGAAGAAGGUGGAGAGGACAGGGACGGCCAGGGAAAGGAAGGAACACCGCAGAGAAGCCUUCAUGUGACGAAAGUGCCCUUCCACCACACCACCACUACCACAACCACCACCACUAACACCACCACUACACCACCACCACCACUACCACCACCACCACCAAAUCACCACACUAAGCGUGAAGAUGUCAGGUCGUGACGCGGUCGGCGCACCUUCCAGAACGCCAACCAGGUGGUGGAGUUGACCACACGCACCAUUCCCAAGGCUCAACACCACCACCACCACCACCAGCGAGGACAUCAACACCAUUCACCACCACCAUUGAAACCAGAUCACACCACCACCACCAGGCCCCUGCGUUACUGCUGAUAAGAAGAGAUCAUCCCUAUCUUCCUCAUCAAACAGGGGGCUUCGUGGUGCAGUGGUUAGCACACUCGGCUCACAUCCGAGAGAGCCCAGGUUCGAUUCCCGGGCGGAGUUGAAAAAUUUGGGGGGCUUUUCCGAUACCCUACGCCCCUGUCCACCCAGCAGUGAAUGGGUACCAGGUAUUAAUAGGGGGUUGUGUCCCGUCUCCUGGGGUCUGUUCCCUUCUCCUAUAAUUCCUUCCCCUUCUGUCUCUCUCUGGCAUGUGACCACAGAUGUUGCACCCACUAAACCAAACUUUCCAACUGUUCCCUUCUCCUAUAAUUCCUUCCCCUUCUGUCUCUCCGGCAUAUGACCACAGAUGUUGCGCUGCCCACUAAA